CCCUACCUCAAGUCAUAUGAUGGGUGGGCUCAGUCCAUAGCCCAAAACCCAUCUAGCUCUCACCCCCUAAUCCAACCCUCUCCCACGUGCCAGAAGAAUUGUUUGUCCCCAACUGCCUGGGACGGAUGGCAAGAACUAAAAUUGAAAUAAUUUAAAAAUUAGAGAGAUUCACUCCAAGGGUUUGGGAAGAGAGAAACUGCUCGAGGGCCUAUAAAUAGAGAGGAGGAAGUUGAGAUAUAGAGGAGGAAGCCAUUCGGAUAAGGAAAAGGUAGAGAGUGAGAAAGCUGGGAGCCGAGAUUAAGAGAAACAAAAGCAUCAUUCAAGCAAGGACUCUCGAGCAACUAAGAGUGAAGAGAGGGAUUCCUACAGAAGGAAAGGAGAUUGAAGCAGAAAGUAAAUAGGAGUUCAGAGGAAAAGAACAGAUGUUGAGAAGAAAGGGACUUCACUUGGGAUUGCUCCGUGCCCACUCAGUAGAAGGAAGAAAGGAGGAGUGGAAGAUUUGAAGGUGAUCCAAGUAAGCGAGCAAAUCAAGCUCGCAAAUAGAAGGGCCUCAGUAUUGCCCUGACAAUAAAGUGAGUAUUUUUUGGAGUAUUUUUGUUUAGCCUUAACCCAGUUGAGAGUAUUUUUGGGAAGCAGUCAUAUAUGUAUAUUUUGAGGGACCUUUUAGCACUAUAGUAUUGUAUAUAAUUAUAUAUGGUUAUGUUUAUUUGA